rnacentral:rRNA from 1 species
AGAGUUUGAUCCUGGCUCAGAAUGAACGUUGGCGGCGUGGAUUAGGCAUGCAAGUCGGACGGGGCCGCAAGGCACCCGUGGCGCAAGGGUGAGUAAGGCGACGGUAACCCACCCCGGGGCUGGCCAUAGCCGAGGGAAACCUCGGGUAAUUGCCAGCGACGCCGCAGGCCGGCAUCGGCCCGCGGCCAAAGGUGCGAUUCCGCCCCGGGACGGGCCGUCGUGGUAUCAGGUCGUUGGCGGGGUAGCGGCCCACCAAGCCUCUGACGCCUACCGGGCGUGCGAGCGUGGCCCGGCACACUGGGACUGAGACACUGCCCAGACUCCUACGGGAGGCUGCAGUCGAGAAUCUUCGGCAAUGGGCGCAAGCCCGACCGAGCGACGUCGCGUGGAGGACGAAGGCCUUCGGGUUGUAAACUCCUGUCGGGGGGAACAAGGGCCGGCGCAGAGCCGGCCUUGAGUGAUCCCCGGAGGAAGCACGGGCUAAGUUCGUGCCAGCAGCCGCGGUAAGACGAACCGUGCGAACGUUAUUCGGAAUCACUGGGCUUAAAGGGCGCGUAGACGGGCGACCGCGUCGAUGGCUGAAAGCCCCCGGCUCAACCGGGGAACGGGCCUCGAUACGGGUCGCCUCGAGGGGAGGAGGGGGACCUGGAACUGCCGGUGGAGCGGUGAAAUGCGUUGAGAUCGGCAGGAACACCCGUGGCGAAAGCGAGGUCCUGGACUCCCCCUGACGUUGAGGCGCGAAAGCCAGGGGAGCGAACGGGAUUAGAUACCCCGGUAGUCCUGGCCGUAAACCAUGGGCACUGGGCGGUGGGCUCGCCGAUGGGCACACCGCCGCAGCGAAAGCGUGAAGUGCCCCGCCUGGGGAGUAUGGUCGCAAGGCUGAAACUCAAAGGAAUUGACGGGGGCCCACACAAGCGGUGGAGCAUGUGGCUUAAUUCGAGGCUACGCGCAAAACCUUAUCCCGGGCUUGACAGGCACGGAUUAGUCGGCGGAAACGUCGAUGACGCCGCCAGGUGGAACGUGCACAGGUGCUGCAUGGCUGUCGUCAGCUCGUGUCGCGAGAUGUUGGGUUCAGUCCCAUAACGAGCGAAACCCCUGUGGCCAGUUGCCAGCGCGUCGUGGCGGGCACUCUGGCCAGACUGCCGGCGUCAAGCCGGAGGAAGGCGGGGACGACGUCAAGUCCUCAUGGCCCUUAUGCCCGGGGCCGCACACGUGCUACAAUGGGGGGUGCAAAGCGCACGCGAGGCCGCAAGGCCGAGCCAAUCGCAAAAAGCCCCCCCCAGUUCGGAUUGCGGGCUGCAACUCGCCCGCAUGAAGCCGGAAUCGCUAGUAAUCGCGGAUCAGCAUCGCCGCGGUGAAUCCGUACCUGGGCCUUGUACACACCGCCCGUCAAGCCACCAAAGCGGGGGGCACCCGAAGUCGCCGAUGCCUCACCGGCAGGCGCCGAAGGUGAAACCCGUGAUGGGGACUAAGUCGUAACAAGGUAACC